CGAGAGGUCGGCGCGGGCAGGCGCCUCGCCAACCUGGUCAGGUCCGGAAGGAAGCAGCCACAACGAGCCCCGUCUGGGUCGUGCCCGGCCUCUCACCC
rnacentral:SRP_RNA from 1 species